rnacentral:rRNA from 1 species
AUAAUCAUGGAGUAUAAUAAUUAAAUUUAAUAAAUUUAAUAUAACUAUUAAUAGAAUUAGGUUACUAAUAAAUUAAUAACAAUUAAUUUUAAAACCUAAAGGUAAACCUUUAUAUUAAUAAUGUUAUUUUUUAUUAUAUUUAUAAUAAGAAUAAUUAUUAAUAAUAAUAAACUAAGUGAACUGAAACAUCUAAGUAACUUAAGGAUAAGAAAUCAACAGAGAUAUUAUGAGUAUUGGUGAGAGAAAAUAAUAAAGGUCUAAUAAGUAUUAUGUGAAAAAAAUGUAAGAAAAUAGGAUAACAAAUUCUAAGACUAAAUACUAUUAAUAAGUAUAGUAAGUACCGUAAGGGAAAGUAUGAAAAUGAUUAUUUUAUAAGCAAUCAUGAAUAUAUUAUAUUAUAUUAAUGAUGUACCUUUUGUAUAAUGGGUCAGCAAGUAAUUAAUAUUAGUAAAACAAUAAGUUAUAAAUAAAUAGAAUAAUAUAUAUAUAUAUAAAAAUAUAUUAAAAUAUUUAAUUAAUAUUAAUUGACCCGAAAGCAAACGAUCUAACUAUGAUAAGAUGGAUAAACGAUCGAACAGGUUGAUGUUGCAAUAUCAUCUGAUUAAUUGUGGUUAGUAGUGAAAGACAAAUCUGGUUUGCAGAUAGCUGGUUUUCUAUGAAAUAUAUGUAAGUAUAGCCUUUAUAAAUAAUAAUUAUUAUAUAAUAUUAUAUUAAUAUUAUAUAAAGAAUGGUACAGCAAUUAAUAUAUAUUAGGGAACUAUUAAAGUUUUAUUAAUAAUAUUAAAUCUCGAAAUAUUUAAUUAUAUAUAAUAAAGAGUCAGAUUAUGUGCGAUAAGGUAAAUAAUCUAAAGGGAAACAGCCCAGAUUAAGAUAUAAAGUUCCUAAUAAAUAAUAAGUGAAAUAAAUAUUAAAAUAUUAUAAUAUAAUCAGUUAAUGGGUUUGACAAUAACCAUUUUUUAAUGAACAUGUAACAAUGCACUGAUUUAUAAUAAAUAAAAAAAAUAAUAUUUAAAAUCAAAUAUAUAUAUAUUUGUUAAUAGAUAAUAUACGGAUCUUAAUAAUAAGAAUUAUUUAAUUCCUAAUAUGGAAUAUUAUAUUUUUAUAAUAAAAAUAUAAAUACUGAAUAUCUAAAUAUUAUUAUUACUUUUUUUUUUAAUAAUAAUAAUAUGGUAAUAGAACAUUUAAUGAUAAUAUAUAUUAGUUAUUAAUUAAUAUAUGUAUUAAUUAAAUAGAGAAUGCUGACAUGAGUAACGAAAAAAAGGUAUAAACCUUUUCACCUAAAACAUAAGGUUUAACUAUAAAAGUACGGCCCCUAAUUAAAUUAAUAAGAAUAUAAAUAUAUUUAAGAUGGGAUAAUCUAUAUUAAUAAAAAUUUAUCUUAAAAUAUAUAUAUUAUUAAUAAUUAUAUUAAUAAUAUAUAUAAUUAUAUUAUAUAUUUUUUUAUUAUAUAAUAUAAACUAAUAAAGAUCAGGAAAUAAUUAAUGUAUACCGUAAUGUAGACCGACUCAGGUAUGUAAGUAGAGAAUAUGAAGGUGAAUUAGAUAAUUAAAGGGAAGGAACUCGGCAAAGAUAGCUCAUAAGUUAGUCAAUAAAGAGUAAUAAGAACAAAGUUGUACAACUGUUUACUAAAAACACCGCACUUUGCAGAAACGAUAAGUUUAAGUAUAAGGUGUGAACUCUGCUCCAUGCUUAAUAUAUAAAUAAAAUUAUUUAACGAUAAUUUUAUUAAAUUUAGGUAAAUAGCAGCCUUAUUAUGAGGGUUAUAAUGUAGCGAAAUUCCUUGGCCUAUAAUUGAGGUCCCGCAUGAAUGACGUAAUGAUACAACAACUGUCUCCCCUUUAAGCUAAGUGAAAUUGAAAUCGUAGUGAAGAUGCUAUGUACCUUCAGCAAGACGGAAAGACCCUAUGCAGCUUUACUGUAAUUAGAUAGAUCGAAUUAUUGUUUAUUAUAUUCAGCAUAUUAAGUAAUCCUAUUAUUAGGUAAUCGUUUAGAUAUUAAUGAGAUACUUAUUAUAAUAUAAUGAUAAUUCUAAUCUUAUAAAUAAUUAUUAUUAUUAUUAUUAAUAAUAAUAAUAUGCUUUCAAGCAUAGUGAUAAAACAUAUUUAUAUGAUAAUCACUUUACUUAAUAGAUAUAAUUCUUAAGUAAUAUAUAAUAUAUAUUUUAUAUAUAUUAUAUAUAAUAUAAGAGACAAUCUCUAAUUGGUAGUUUUGAUGGGGCGUCAUUAUCAGCAAAAGUAUCUGAAUAAGUCCAUAAAUAAAUAUAUAAAAUUAUUGAAUAAAAAAAUAAUAUAUAUUAUAUAUAUUAAUUAUAAAUUGAAAUAUGUUUAUAUAAAUUUAUAUUUAUUGAAUAUAUUUUAGUAAUAGAUAAAAAUAUGUACAGUAAAAUUGUAAGGAAAACAAUAAUAACUUUCUCCUCUCUCGGUGGGGGUUCACACCUAUUUUUAAUAGGUGUUCACCCCUCUUCGGGGUUCCGGUUCCCUUUCGGGUCCCGGAACUUAAAUAAAAAUAAUUAUGGAAAGAAUUAAAUUAAUAUAAUGGUAUAACUGUGCGAUAAUUGUAACACAAACGAGUGAAACAAGUACGUAAGUAUGGCAUAAUGAACAAAUAACACUGAUUGUAAAGGUUAUUGAUAACGAAUAAAAGUUACGCUAGGGAUAACAGGGUAAUAUAACGAAAGAGUAGAUAUUGUAAGUUAUGUUUGCCACCUCGAUGUCGACUCAACAUUUCCUCUUGGUUGUAAAAGCUAAGAAGGGUUUGACUGUUCGUCAAUUAAAAUGUUACGUGAGUUGGGUUAAAUACGAUGUGAAUCAGUAUGGUUCCUAUCUGCUGAAGGAAAUAUUAUCAAAUUAAAUCUCAUUAUUAGUACGCAAGGACCAUAAUGAAUCAACCCAUGGUGUAUCUAUUGAUAAUAAUAUAAUAUAUUUAAUAAAAAUAAUACUUUAUUAAUAUAUUAUCUAUAUUAGUUUAUAUUUUAAUUAUAUAUUAUCAUAGUAGAUAAGCUAAGUUGAUAAUAAAUAAAUAUUGAAUACAUAUUAAAUAUGAAGUUGUUUUAAUAAGAUAAUUAAUCUGAUAAUUUUAUACUAAAAUUAAUAAUUAUAGGUUUUAUAUAUUAUUUAUAAAUAAAUAUAUUAUAAUAAUAAUAAUUAUUAUUAUUAAUAAAAAAUAU